rnacentral:rRNA from 1 species
GAUGAACGCUGGCGGCGUGCCUAAUACAUGCAAGUCGAGCGAACAGACGAGGAGCUUGCUCCUCUGACGUUAGCGGCGGACGGGUGAGUAACACGUGGAUAACCUACCUAUAAGACUGGGAUAACUUCGGGAAACCGGAGCUAAUACCGGAUAAUAUAUUGAACCGCAUGGUUCAAUAGUGAAAGACGGUUUUGCUGUCACUUAUAGAUGGAUCCGCGCCGCAUUAGCUAGUUGGUAAGGUAACGGCUUACCAAGGCGACGAUGCGUAGCCGACCUGAGAGGGUGGUCGGCCCCACUGGAACUUGACCACGGUCCAUGCUCCUACGGGAGGCAGCAGUAGCGCAUCUUCCGCAAUGGGCGGGAGCCUGACGGAGCGACGCCGCGUGAGUUAUGAAAGUCCUCGGUUCGUAAAACUCUUUUAUUAGUGAAGAACAAAUGUGUAAGUAACUAUGCACGUCUUGACGGUACCUAAUCAGAAAGCCACGGCUAACUACGUG